rnacentral:rRNA from 1 species
GCCCAUUUGAGGGGGAUACCAGUUGGAAACGACUGUUAAUACCGCAUAGUAUCUGUGGAUUAAAGGUGGCUUUUAGGCUGUCGCAGAUGGAUGAGCCUGCGUUAGAUUAGCUAGUUGGUGGGGUAAGGGCCUACCAAGGCUACGAUCCAUAGCUGAUUUGAGAGGAUGAUCAGCCACAUUGGGACUGAGACACGGCCCAAACUCCUACGGGAGGCAGCAGUGAGGAAUAUUGGACAAUGGGGGCAACCCUGAUCCAGCAAUGCCAUGUGUGUGAAGAAGGCCUUAGGGUUGUAAAGCACUUUAGUUGGGGAAGAAAGCUUUGAGGUUAAUAGCCUUGAGGAAGGACGUUACCCAAAGAAUAAGCACCGGCUAACUCCGUGCCAGCAGCCGCGGUAAUACGGGGGGUGCAAGCGUUAAUCGGAAUUACUGGGCGUAAAGGGUCUGUAGGUGGUUUGUUAAGUCAGAUGUGAAAGCCCAGGGCUCAACCUUGGAACUGCAUUUGAUACUGGCAAACUAGAGUACGGUAGAGGAAUGGGGAAUUUCUGGUGUAGCGGUGAAAUGCGUAGAGAUCAGAAGGAACACCAAUGGCGAAGGCAACAUUCUGGACCGAUACUGACACUGAGGGACGAAAGCGUGGGGAUCAAACAGGAUUAGAUACCCUGGUAGUCCACGCUGUAAACGAUGAGUACUAGCUGUUGGAGUCGGUGUAAAGGCUCUAGUGGCGCAGCUAACGCGAUAAGUACUCCGCCUGGGGACUACGGCCGCAAGGCUAGAACUCAAAGGAAUUGACGGGGACCCGCACAAGCGGUGGAGCAUGUGGUUUAAUUCGAUGCAACGCGAAGAACCUUACCUGGUCUUGACACCCUGCGAACUUUCUAGAAAUAGAUUGGUGCCUUCGGGAACGCAGUGACAGGUGCUGCACGGCUGUCGUCAGCUCGUGUUGUGAAAUGUUGGGUUAAGUCCCGCAACGAGCGCAACCCCUAUUGAUAGUUACCAUCAUUAAGUUGGGUACUCUAUUGAGACUGCCGCUGACAAGGCGGAGGAAGGUGGGGACGACGUCAAGUCAUCAUGGCCCUUACGACCAGGGCUACACACGUGCUACAAUGGGUAUUACAAAGGGCUGCAAAGGAGCGAUCUGGAGCGAAACUCAAAAAGGUACUCUUAGUCC